rnacentral:rRNA from 1 species
GACGAACGCUGGCGGCGUGCUUAACACAUGCAAGUCGAACGGUGAAGCUCCAGCUUGCUGGAGUGGAUCAUUGGCGAACGGGUGAGUAACACGUGAGCAACCUGCCCCUGACUCUGGGAUAAGCGCUGGAAACGGCGUCUAUUAUAGCAUACGAGAUGUUGCCGCACGGGCACUUUCUGUGAAGUCCUGCGGUUGGGGAUGGGCUGGAGGCCUAUCAGCUUGUUGGGGAGGUAAUGGCGGACCAAGGCUACGAAGGGUAGCCCGCCUGGGAGGGCGAACGGCCACACUGGGACUGCGAGACGGAGCAGACUCCUACGGUAGGCAGCAGUGGAGAAUAUUGCAGAAUGAGCGAAAGCCUGAUGCGGAGACGCCGCGUGCGGGAUGACGGCCUUCGGGUUGUAAACAUCUUUCAGCGGGGAAGAAGCGAAAGUGACGGUACCUGCUGAAGAAGCACCGGCUAACUACGUG